UACGGGGGGGGCGAGCGUUGUUCGGAAUUACUGGGCGUAAAGGGUGCGUAGGCGGGCCCGUCAGUCAGGGGUGAAAUCCCACGGCCCGACCGUGGAAGUGCCUCUGAUACUGCGGGCCUGGAGGGGGAUAGGGGCGUGCGGAACUUCCGGUGGAGCGGUGAAAUGCGUAGAUAUCGGAAGGAACACCGGUGGCGAAAGCGGCGCGCUGGAUCCCUACUGACGCUGAGGCACGAAAGCCAGGGGAGCAAACGGG
rnacentral:rRNA from 1 species